rnacentral:piRNA from 1 species
UAAUAGUCAAUAUAGUUAAGAGGG